rnacentral:tRNA from 2 species
GGUGAGAUGGCCGAGAGGCUGAAGGCGCUCCCCUGCUAAGGGAGUAUAGGGUUAAAAGCUCUAUCGAGGGUUCGAAUCCCUCUCUCACCGCCA